rnacentral:siRNA from 1 species
UAGCUUCUAUUAGGGGUGUCA